rnacentral:rRNA from 1 species
AUGAACGCUGGCGGCGUGCCUAAUACAUGCAAGUCGCGCGAACAGACGAGGAGCUUGCUCCUCUGACGUUAGCGGCGGACGGGUGAGUAACACGUGGAUAACUUACCUAUAAGACUGGGAUAACUUCGGGAAACCGGAGCUAAUACCGGAUAAUAUAUUGAACCGCAUGGUUCAAUAGUGAAAGACGGUUUUGCUGUCACUUAUAGAUGGAUCCGCGCCGCAUUAGCUAGUUGGUAAGGUAACGGCUUACCAAGGCAACGAUGCGUAGCCGACCUGAGAGGGUGAUCGGCCACACUGGAACUGAGACACGGUCCAGACUCCUACGGGAGGCAGCAGUAGGGAAUCUUCCGCAAUGGGCGAAAGCCUGACGGAGCAACGCCGCGUGAGUGAUGAAGGUCUUCGGAUCGUAAAACUCUGUUAUUAGGGAAGAACAAAUGUGUAAGUAACUAUGCACGUCUUGACGGUACCUAAUCAGAAAGCCACGGCUAACUACGU